rnacentral:rRNA from 1 species
UACAGAGGUCUCAAGCGUUGUUCGGAUUCAUUGGGCGUAAAGGGUGCGUAGGUGGCGCUGUAAGUCGGGUGUGAAAUUUCGGAGCUUAACUCCAAACUGCAUUCGAUACUGCGGUGCUUGAGGACUGGAGAGGAGACUGGAAUUCAUGGUGUAGCAGUGAAAUGCGUAGAGAUCAUGAGGAAGACCAGUGGCGAAGGCGGGUCUCUGGACAGUUCCUGACACUGAGGCACGAAGGCCAGGGGAGCAAACGGG